AUCCGGGUUUCGAGGUUUUGUAUAUUUUUCUAUGUAAAUUUCAUGUAUAGAGGCAAGUAAGAAACUGACCUGUUUGUAUACGCGGCUUUUCUUCUGAUCGUCAACCUUUAAUUUAUCUGUUUACGUUUGGUCUAAAAUAUUCAAUUAAUUAAAUUAAUUCUGAAUAUUUUAUCAAAAUAUUAAUUCCUUCAGUUUUAAGGGUGGGCAGUUCGGGUUGGUGGCAGGUUGGGCAGUUGUGAGUGUCUGUGUGAUGGUGAGGAAAGGGGAAGUUACGAAUGGAAUGCAGGUAGCUUAGGACCGAGGCAGACAGCUUAGGACCGAGGCAGACAGCUUAGGACCGAGGCAGACAGCUUAGGAUUGAGGCAGGUAGGCAGUUGGUAGGAAUCAGUGGGGGGCACUUGUCAUUUCGACCAUGGGAUUCAAAAUUUGCAUGUCGAGUAUUUGUUACUAAUGCUUGUUGAUUUACAUUUGCUAGGUAUGCGCGUGGCUGCUCUCAAGAGAAGAUCGACUUAGCAAUUUGCAUUAUUUUGCAUUUGCAAGGUUGGUCUUCUCUUCGCCCCGCUACCCCGGCUGGCUCUCCGAGUGCUACUUCUACUUUGAGUAGAAGUACUUUUACUAUGUAGUAGAAGUACUUCUGCUUGAAGUAGAGGUGGCACUUGGGGAGCCGGCCGGGGUAGGGGGAUUUUUUUUAUUUUUUUUUUCAAUUCCCAUGGGAAUUGAAUUUUUAAUUAAAAAGGAGUCUCUUGUAUAAUUAAUGAACAAUUUAUUGAAAAGAAUUGUAAUUACAAAUUGAAUAACAAUAAAAAGAGAACAACCACUGCACACUUAUUUAAAUAACAAUAGAAGAAAACAGAACAUGGCACAAAGAGAACAAUUAACAUUGUGUUCAUCACAAGUGAAUAAGCACAAGUGAAAACACAACAUUAAAAGACUUGUUUGCCCGCGAAUUAACAUUAAAAAGUUAAUUCUUGAGGAAACAAGAGAACCUGGUCUUUUCAAGAUAAAUGUUUAUACUUCAAAAUAAAUAUUGUAAAACAACUGUGACGGAGAAAUCAAAAGCGUAACACCAGGUUGUUUUACAAAGAAAAUAUAUGGCUCAAAGACGAAGUAAAUCGAACAUGCUUUUACUUUUUUGAAUAAAACUGUUUUUGGUAAAGUGACCAAAAUGUUCACUUGAGUAUGGAAAAUAAUGAUUUUAUCGCGAUGUUUUGAUGCUAAGAGAAGUCCAUUCGAUGUAAUGUGAGAUCAGUUGUCAAGUGGUUGGCAAGAAAUAGACCAUAUGCAUAAUGACGUCAAAAGGCCCGGUGCCCUUGAUGCCCACGAGGAACGCUGGUCUUAGUAGUCAUCGCCCAGUAAGAUCAAACAAUUCAAAAUGACCACUAUCAAAAUUUUCCAGGGCGAUGACUAUUAAGACCAGCAUUCCUCGCAGGCAUCAAGCCUUGUGACGUCAUUAUGCCGCAUAAGGUCUAUUGUGGUUGACAACAAAUUGCA